GUUAAAUCCUAACAUAAGGUCUCUUAAGCAUGGGCGAGAAAUGGAACCAGAAGCCAAAUUGUGUUACCUUGCUGGUAUGAAGAAAGCAGGCCACAAAGAUGUUAAUAUCACAGAAUGUGGAAUAUUUCUUGAUAAGGACAUGACUUAUCUUGGGGCAAGCCCUGAUAUACUUGUUGAUUGUGCUUGUUGUGGCUCAGGUGUUGUAGAAAUUAAAUAUCCUCUUGUUCAAAAAUGUGGAAAAUGUACAACGUUUUGCAGUUGUUGUGUUCCCGACUAUUUGUAUGUUGAUGGAACUAGG
rnacentral:lncRNA from 1 species